rnacentral:rRNA from 1 species
GGCUUAUUGAGUAUAAUUUUAAGUCUAGCCUGCCCACUGAAAUAUUAAAGGGCCGCGGUAUUUUGACCGUGCAAAGGUAGCAUAAUCAUUAGUUUUUUAAUUGAAAGCUGGAAAGAAUGGUUGAAUGAGAAAAAAGCUGUCUCUUAUAUAAAAAUUGAAUUUUAUUUUUAAGUUAAAAAGCUUAAAUUUUUUUAAAAGACGAGAAGACCCUAUAGAGUUUUAUUAAUAUUAGAUAAAAUUAUUUUAGUUUUGAAAAAAUUUUUUUAUAAUAUUAAUUUGAUUGGGGUGAUUAAAAAAUUAAAUAAACUUUUUUUUAAAAAAAACAAUAAUAAUUGAUUUUUUGAUCCAAAAUUUUUGAUUAUAAGAUUAAAUUACCUUAGGGAUAACAGCGUAAUUUUUUUUGAGAGUUCUUAUUGAAAAAAAAGAUUGCGACCUCGAUGUUGGAUUAAAAUAUAUAUUUGGUGCARAAGCUAAAUCAAUUAAGUCUGUUCGACUUUUAAAAUUUUACA